rnacentral:misc_RNA from 1 species
AAAAGGUAUUAUAAGUUCUGAACUUUUUUCCUCUUAGAGCAUAUAUGGUGCUCCAUCUUGUGAUCUGCAUAUAUGUAUGGGUGAUUCUGUCCAAAUAUGCAAUUUUCAUGUGAUGACUGUUUCACAAUGUUGUAUGUGACAAGUUAAUUUUCAUGAGCUUUGUAACUUUUUUUAAUAUUAUAAUUAAAAACAAAUUCAUGAAUGAUUUCCUUGAAAUUGUUUUUUUCCCCUAGCAGGUAAUAAUUGCUUUUGUUGUGAAUUGUGAUCUUUCAUUGGUUAGCGUUUGUUUUGUCUUUACCAUUAUAUUUAGAAUUCUUUUGGCAUUAUGGUGGAAAUUUGUCUUCAGUUCAUUUUCUUUCUUUUUUCUAUAUGCAAAAUUCUGUUUAGUUUGUGGUUUAAGUUGCUUAUCCAUAUUGCUCAAGUUGCCUGUCAAUUCUUGAAUGUCCAAAUGAGAUGAUUCUAUCAAACUAAUAUGUUGUGAGUUGUCACAUAGAGCUUACUUUUUUGUCUCUUUUUUUAUUUUUUUAUGGGAUACUUGAUUGCUCAAUUUUGGUGUCAUUUGGUGUAUAUGGUAUAUAUCUCAUUAUCUCUUAGGUUCUGUGCCAAUUACAUACAGACUGUUUAAUGAUUGUGUUCAUGUUACAUGUACACAUUAUUCGAUCUAUAGUUGAGGACAAUUUGAUGGGUAUAUCUUUCUUUAGCAUCUGGUUCCUAAUUCUGUCGGUGUACUUUGUCAUUUCUUGCAUGAAAUCCAGUAUGGGCUUGAUACUUCAGAGU